rnacentral:rRNA from 1 species
GUGCCAGCAGCCGCGGUAAUACGGAAGGUGCGAGCGUUAAUCGGAAUAACUGGGCGUAAAGCGCGCGUAGGUGGUUGAGUCAGUCAGAUGUGAAAGCCCCGGGCUUAACCUGGGAACUGCACCUGAUACUGCUUAACUAGAGUACGGUAGAGGGCAGUGGAAUUUCCUGUGUAGCGGUGAAAUGCGUAGAUAUAGGAAGGAACACCAGUGGCGAAGGCGACUGCCUGGACUGAUACUGACACUGAGGUGCGAAAGCGUGGGUAGCAAACAGG